AACGAACGCUGGCGGCAUGCCUAACACAUGCAAGUCGAACGAGACCUUCGGGUCUAGUGGCGCACGGGUGCGUAACGCGAGGGAACCUGCCCUUAGGUUCGGAAUAACUCCCCGAAAGGGGUGCUAAUACCGGAUAAUGUCUACGGACCAAAGAUUUAUCGCCCUUGGAUGGGCCCGCGUUGGAUUAGCUAGUUGUUAGGGUAAAAGCCUAACAAGGCGACGAUCCAUAGCUGGUCAGAAAGGAUGAUCAGCCACACUGGGACUGAGACACGGCCCAGACUCCUACGGGAGGCAGCAGUGGGGAAUAUUGGACAAUGGGCGGAAGCCUGAUCCAGCAAUGCCGCGUGAGUGAUGAAGGCAUGAGGGUUGUAAAGCUCUUUUACCCGGGAUGAUAAUGACAGUACCGGGAGAAUAAGCCCCGGCUAACUCCGUG
rnacentral:rRNA from 1 species